GAUGAACGCUGGCGGCGUGCCUAAUACAUGCAAGUCGAGCGAACGGACGAGAAGCUUGCUUCUCUGAUGUUAGCGGCGGACGGGUGAGUAACACGUGGAUAACCUACCUAUAAGACUGGGAUAACUUCGGGAAACCGUAGCUAAUACCGGAUAAUAUUUUGAACCGCAUGGUUCAAAAGUGAAAGACGGUCUUGCUGUCACUUAUAGAUGGAUCCGCGCUGCAUUAGCUAGUUGGUAAGGUAACGGCUUACCAAGGCAACGAUGCAUAGCCGACCUGAGAGGGUGGUGGGACACACUGGAAGUGAGACACGGUCCAGACUCCGACGGGAGGCAGCAGUAGGGAAUCUUCCGCAAUGGGCGAAAGCCUGACGGAGCAACGCCGCGUGAGUGAUGAAGGUCUUCGGAUCGUAAAACUCUGUUAUUAGGGAAGAACAUAUGUGUAAGUAACUGUGCACAUCUUGACGGUACCUAAUCAGAAAGCCACGGCUAACUACGUG
rnacentral:rRNA from 1 species